CCUAGGCAAUUUAUUCCCAGCUUGGCAUUGUCUGCAAACUUUCUAAGUGUGACAGAGCGACUCUGUUGCUGGGAGGGUUUCGCCAUGUGUCAGAGGGUUACACCCUGGGGGAGGGGGCUAUGCCUGUACUGGAAGAAGGUCACUCAGUGCUUCACAGUGUAGCAGAACCUAGAAUGUCCAUUAGCAGGGAAAAAUCCUUGGGGGAAUCAGCUUGUGGAAUGGACAAAAGCCCCAUCGGAAUGCUCUCCCAUUGCCCUUCUAACCCUGGCAGGCUACAGAAUAACAUCCACAUUUCGCUCCAGAUCAACCCAUCCUCCCACGGGGAAGGAAAUGUCUGCAAUGGAGCUGGCUCAGGGUUUCCAGUUUCCAAACCUGAUGUGAUCUUGCACCUGGAAUAAGGGGAACAGCUGUGGGUCUCAGAUCUCCCGAGAGCUGUCUGCACAGGUGAUAGGAUGGUGAGUGAGAACGAGGAGACACCCCAGCAGGAAGAUGCUGAGCAAGUAGAAC